GACAGAGGGGGCAAGCGUUGCUCGGAAUCACUGGGCGUAAAGGGUGCGUAGGCGGUCGGGUAAGUCUGACGUGAAAUCUCCAAGCUCAACUUGGAAAUGGCGUCGGAUACUAUUCGGCUCGAGGAAUGGAGGGGAGACUGGAAUUCUCGGUGUAGCAGUGAAAUGCGUAGAUAUCGAGAGGAACACCAGUGGCGAAGGCGAGUCUCUGGACAUUUCCUGACGCUGAGGCACGAAAGCCAGGGGAGCAAACGGG
rnacentral:rRNA from 1 species